AACGCACAUUGCGCCCGCCGGUAUUCCGGCGGGCAUGCCUGUUCGAGCGUCAUUUCAACCCUCAGGUCUUGCCUGGUGUUGGAGUACCACUAUUGUGGGCUCCCAAAUUCAGCGGCGGACAUGGUCCGGACCCGAGCGUAGUAAUCUACGUCGCUCAGGGCGCCGGGGCUUGCCUCAGCCGUUAAACCCCCCAUUUUGUGAGGUUGACCUCGGAUCAGGUAGGAAUACCCGCUGAACUUAA
rnacentral:misc_RNA from 1 species